ensembl:lncRNA
GAGAGGACGGCGCUGUCCGAGACCCUCCCUGAGGGUUCCACUGGUCAGGCCUGCGUCAGAGAACAUUCCAGAGCUGACGGCUGAACCGGUCUAGGAGCUCCGGGGACCCCUGGAGGGCCCCAGAGUUUCUCCUGGGCGCCUCAGGAGACCGCCGAGGCCUGAUCCCAGAGCCUCCUCUGUGAGGGUCUGUGUGAGUGUGGGAGCACCGCGGCUUGAUCAUCACUUGCUGUUGCUACUGCUGUGUUUGUGCUUCUGAUCCUUUAGAACUGAUGAAGACUAAAAUGGUUUUUAUUUACUUCAGCCUAGAAUAUUCCCACCAAACACCUGUGAUUCCCACCUGACCACCGUAACACGUCUUGGUCCAGCGUUCCUCCUGGAUGGAUGCAGACAUACAGCAAAUUGGUGCGGUGGUGGCGGCGGGUCCUCUUGCUGCCUGAUGGCAGCUCUGGCCCCUCUAAAGAGACAUGGGUGGGUGGUGGGGGGGGAUCUCUGAAGCAGGUCUUUCAAGUCCACGUUGAUUCCCAUACACCUCCUCCACGGCGUCGCAACAUCCAGCGCCACACGCAGCAGACGGGCUGGAGGAGUCCGUCUCUGCAGCCUUUCUUGGGCACCCCGCUCCCGUCUGCACCCCCUUUUCUUGUCUGAGGGUUAUUGAAGAGGGGGGCACCCAUGGAAGGAGCGUUAUUAGCGUGCAUGUGUGUAUCUGCGUGUGGCUUUGGAGGCUUAAUCCCACAGAGUUGCUGCGGGAUGAGAAACAUAUGCGGCGUGUUACAGCCGCAUCAAUGGCGUCCUCUGUUUCACCAUCAAAGCUUGGGAAUGUCUUUAUGUGUGCUGCUGUUUCUGUCUGAUAAUCCCACCACCGCCUUAUGCCAUCGCAGCCGCUUUGAUUAGUGUCCUUUGCAGACGAUUUUAAUGCAAUCGCUAUUUAUCAUUGAAACAAAAUCUCUAUGAGAGUAAUUUCGGCUUGUAACUGAUAUUUAUUCCAGUACUACAGCAGAACCUUCCACUUUUAGAGGUGACUAUCACACUGGCCAUCAAAUCUCAGCCAACCCGCUUUUAAAUAAAUCAACUUCAAUUAGCUAACAUGUAAUUGAAAUAUAUAUACGCGUUGCCAUGGCAACUGGAACAAGUGUUUCUAAAAUGUGACCCGUUGAGAUCAGAACAGGCAAGGACCUCCUGCAACAGUCAGCCAUCGCUCUUCAAAAUAAACAGACCACCCGCAGUUCUUACAAAGAGCAAUGACAAAGAAUGAAAAGAAAAAGGUGAAAUCCUGCAAUUAUUUAGACUUAUGACACAUUAAAAACAAAUGUAUCGAGUCUCUUCGGUGUCUCAUCCUGCCUAAGAGGAAAUAGACACACCAGAGAAUCAGGAGUGUGAGGUCACGACCUCUGCAGGCUUCACUUCCUCCCUGUGACCAAGAGGAACGACACACGCCCCAUGGAACCAGUUUUAUCCUGGAGCGUGCUUAAAUAAAAGCUGAAGCACCAUUUUGAACCACAUUUAUCCAUGAAGCAGCAGCGUGUCCUUGCUCCUCUGCAGAGCUGCAGUUGUGUCUGUUCAGGUAAAAUCAGACCAAAGUUGGACUCAUUUGGAUCUUCAGGAUCUGGCCUGCGUUUGGACAAUGCUGCAUUUUCAGGCUGAUGCUGUGGAUGUUCAGGAGGUUCAGGAGGCCUGUUCUACUCCAAGUGUCCCUAAUCACCAACACUUACUCCUGAUUACUCAUUGUCCUGGACAAGACCACAGACAGCUGUAGGAGGCCAUUAAGAUGUCCUCUUUCCUGGGGGACAGUCAGUCACACAGGCAGAGGUCAAGUGAGGAGCGCCGACUUCCUUCCUCUUCCUGCCCCCACACAUCUCAUGUGAAGGGUUUGAUUCUUCCCCAGAGCCGUCUAGAGGAGUCAGGCUGGACCCGAUGCCUUUAGCAGGGUCUCAGGGAGGAACAAUGCACAGGGUGCACACACGCAGGUCCGCCUCCCUUUUUGUGUCUCAGCCUUGAUAAGUUUGGGAGGUAAUGGUGGGGUUCAGCGUAAAAUGGUUGCCAUGACUCCCUGGGAAAUAUGUCACUUAAGACCUCGCAGCGUGUUUCUGCUGAUUUGAAGAGAAGCUGCAGACUAAAUGUUGAAAAUAAGUGGGGUGACCUUGCGGGGGUGACCUCGGGUUCUUGUUAUGUUCCCUCGUUUUAGGCAUUAAGUGGAUGCUUUUAUGCAGAGACGCUGACAUGUGAGAACAGCACAAACAAGCCUAAAUCCCAGCACAUUCUUCUAAUUAUAGCAUUCUCCAAGGCACGGCGGUACACAAACACGUCAGGAAAUGCCACUUCAGUCUGUUUAAAUAUCCAGAAACUUUUCAAUCAGCCGUGUGGAAGCACUCAACAUUACUCACCUAUAGUCUUUCCACAAGUUCAGCUACUACAGUUACUUUGCAAUUUAGUUUAUUAAUGAAAAUACAUUCAACAUAUAAAGUGACAGUUCAUGUUUCAUGUGUGUUUUUAUCAGAAGGUGUUGGAAAAUUGCCUCCUUUGACUUUGGCUGUUCCACCUGUGAGUCAUUGUCUCCCAGCAGAUUUAAGGCCGUCUCCUCCCCAGGGCUGAUCUCCUGACUGCUGUCAGAUGCUAGAGGGUUGAUGGAUGCUAGCGUGUGUUUAUGACAAUACUGAGCAGAAAAUGGGCUAAAGCAAAAUGAGCUGGACAGUCGGAUUUAACUUGAAAUUAGGAAACAACUAAAUAAGAAGCCCCCUCACAUUAUUCUGACUUGUGACAAUCAACUCCAAUAUAAAUAACAAAAUACAUAAAUGCACUUUUAAUAACGGAUAAAGGUCUCGGUGUGAGAGGUGCAGGUUCCAGGACCGAACCUGUAAUUUAGAAAAACAAUCUUCUGGAAUCAUUUACUGGUGCUUCUGGCUCAGAACUCUUGUAUAUAUUCUGACCACUAGAGGUCUCCAGAUCCUACACAGACUCUCAGGAUCUAGCAGGAUUUAAGCUAAAUCAGAACAGGGUUCAAUUCCGAGGGGUGAGACCAACCAACCUUUCUUGGGGAAAAGGAAACUGCUGCAAAUGAGUUUAAGAUAACUCAUCUUUAGUAAUCCUGCAUUGGGGAAAAUAAAAUAUAUGAAAAUGCAUUAUGAAUGUAAGAUAAAGGCAAAGGUGGUUUUUUUUUCAUUAUUCAUGUUCUAAUAAUAAUAAUUGUUUAAUCAAAUAUAAUAUAAUCUUUACUGCUGACAACAACAUAGCAUCAAAUCUGCUAAUGCAUGCCUGAAGAAAGGAACACACACGCACACACACACACACACACACACACACACACACACACACACACUGAGCUGUGGUGUGGUGUGGUGUGGUGUAAUCCAAUCAGAGUCCCUGAAUGAAAAAGGGCGGAGGAGAACAUGUGGAUUAAGGUGCUGAACAGCUGAUCUCAAGGGAUCAAAUAAAUCGACACUGUCCUGCGCAGGACCGAGGCCUCGUCCCACACAGCCCACAGGGCCCCAAAGGGCCCCUGAACUGAUUUACUGAUGAGGUUGUGCAGCAUUCUAACUGUCCAGCAUGUCGGCCUUUAAUUAGGUUAGUUUCUAAUAGACUUGAUUGAGGUCCUACCUGCAGAUAUGAAACAUCCAGGUGGGUUCAGACAGCUGUGACGGUCCAGGCAGGUCUGAGACGGUGACUUCUGUGUCUUAUUUAUUCACCCACUCAGGCUAACGUGUCCCACACAGUAGUGUUGUGCUCUGAUGGAACUUUAGACCUUUAUUCUGACUCUGCAGAUGACACGAGUCCUCAUGCUGGUUGUCGGGCUGCAGAGUCCUGCUAGUCUCCACCACGACCGUCUAAUUAUCACAUCAGUCACAGGAGUCACAUCAGUUCCAGCAGGUGAAUGCAUUUAAAAUCAGACAGAACCACAUGGCAGCUUUGUAGCUGCAGGGCUGCACUACGUUUUACAGACAUUUUAAAAUUGAUUGAAAUCAGUGGUGUUGAUGCAACAAGAGGAAAAUGCUUUUGUAGCUCUUCACAUUAAAAAGGUUAUUAAAUCGACUGAAAAGACCAUUUUUUUAUAUGUCAAAUUUUCUUUCUGAAAAUAAAAUGUAGAAUAUGCCUGUAAAUAGAUAAAUAGAAUAUGUGAAUAUGUGAAUAUAAGGAUUAAUAAAUGCUAAAAUAUACCCAUAAUAAACGCGUCACAAGUUUCCUGACAUUGGAUGGACGCAGUUUUACAGUUUUGAGCUCGUGAUCAUGUCGGUUAGAAUGUGUGAUAACAGCUACCGUGAUGUUAAUCCUGCACUUCUCACAUCUCCGUGUGUGUGUGUGUGUGUGUGAGAGAGAGAGAGAGAGAGAGAGAGAGUCUGUGUGUGUGUGUGUGUGUGUGCGAGAGAGAGAGAGAGAGAGUCUGUGUGUGUGUGUGUGUGUGUGCGAGAGAGAGAAAGAGUCUGUGUGUGGAUGUGUGUGUCUGCAUUUGCAGCCCUCCACAAGCUCUCAUUUGCUCUUUACGUUAUACUCGCCACCACGUAAAUGCAUGCAGAGCUAGUUGCCAAGGCAACCAGGAGCUGGCAUAGAAGCGUUGUGGAGAGGUGCAGCAUGGCAGCAACCAGACUGACACGUGUGUGUGUGUGUGUGUGUGUGUGUGUGUGUGUGUGUUCGUUGUUCAUAUUCCUCUACUGACCCAUAAUGUGACAUGAUGUGGCGUGUGUGUGUGUGUGUGUAAGUGUGUGUGUACAUUUUGAGUGUUGUCUGUCACGUUGUGCUCGGGGGUUUUGGGGCAGUCGGUGGUCUUUCCUCCGAUUGUGAAGGUUCUCG